rnacentral:rRNA from 1 species
GAUGAACGCUGGCGGCGUGCCUAAUACAUGCAAGUCGAGCGAACAGACGAGGAUCUUGUUGCUCUCUCGUUAGCGGCGGACGGGUGAGUAACACGUGUAUAACCCACCUAUAAGACUGGUAUAUCUUCGGGAAACGGGAGCUAAUACCGUAUAAUAUAUUGAACCGCAUGGUGCGUUGGUGAAAUACGGUUUUGCGGGCUGUUCUAGAUGGAUCCCCGCCUCAUUGGCUAGUUGGUAAGUUAACGGCUUACCAAGGCAACGAUGCGUAGACGAGCUGAGAGGGUGGUAGGCCACCUGGGAACUGAGACGCGGUCCAGGCUCCUACGGGAGGCAGCAGUAGGGAAUCUUACGCAAUGGGCGAAAGCCUGACGGAGCGACGGCGAGUGAGUGAUGAAAGUCUUCGGAUCGUAAAACUCUGUUACGAGGGAAGAACAAAUGUGUAAGUAACUAUGCACGUAGUGACGGUACCUGAUCAGAAAGCAACGGCUAACUACGUG